rnacentral:piRNA from 1 species
UCCUUUCAGUUCAGGCUUUCAACUCAACAA